GGAAGUAAAAGUCGCAACAAGGUCUCCGUAGGUGAACCUGCGGAGGGAUCAUUACUGAAUGGCCCUCUUGGGCCUUCAACCCUUCAAACAUGUGGACCUAAAACUGUGCUUCGGCGUCGCUCGCGCGGCGUCGCUUUUAUGCUGCAAGUCCGGUUCUGUCAGAUUGAAUACAAAAGAUUUAAAACUUUCAACAAAGGAUCUCUUGGCUCUC
rnacentral:misc_RNA from 1 species